rfam:Triticum aestivum genome assembly, contig: Triticum_aestivum_CS42_TGACv1_scaffold_220716_3B
CUUAUACUCCCUUGGUCCAGAAAUACUUGUCGAAGGAAUGGAUGUAUCUAGACGUAUUUUAGUUCUCGAUACAUCUAUUUUUAUGCAUUUCUUCGACAAGUAUUUUCGGAUGGAGGGAGUACCCA